GUGGGGUUGGUGGCGCCGGUGAGGGGGUAGGUCACCCGUCUGUGACUGUGUCGCCGGUUGGUGUCAAGUCCAGUUCUCAUCCGGCCUCCGCCGCCCCAAAGUGUUAGGGUGUAGGACGGUGUGGCACCCAUCUGAGGGUAGGUCGUGUGUUUAAUCUAAGGUGCAUGCGAGCGGGUUUUAGUGGUGGUCCUUGUAUGGUUCUUACCGUGUGAUACGGGUGAUGAGGGUGAGUUAAGGCCUAUGGGAGA